UUCCUUGAUUCAUACUUCAUACAUUCCAUGUACCAAUUACAUGGUACAUGGAAUGUAUGAAGUAUGAAUGCAUGAU
rnacentral:pre_miRNA from 12 species